GACGAACGCUGGCGGCGUGCUUAACACAUGCAAGUCGAACGAUGACGACCGAGCUUGCUCGGUCUGAUUAGUGGCGAACGGGUGAGUAACACGUGAGCAACCUGCCCUUCACUCUGGGAUAACCUCGGGAAAUCGGGGCUAAUACCGGAUAUGAGCUCCGGUCGCAUGGCGGGUGUUGGAAAGUUUUUCGGUGAAGGAUGGGCUCGCGGCCUAUCAGUUUGUUGGUGAGGUAGUGGCUCACCAAGGCGAUGACGGGUAGCCGGCCUGAGAGGGCGACCGGCCACACUGGGACUGAGACACGGCCCAGACUCCUACGGGAGGCAGCAGUGGGGAAUAUUGCACAAUGGGCGAAAGCCUGAUGCAGCGACGCCGCGUGAGGGAUGACGGCCUUCGGGUUGUAAACCUCUUUCAGCAGGGAAGAAGCGAAAGUGACGGUACCUGCAGAAGAAGCGCCGGCUAACUACGUG
rnacentral:rRNA from 1 species